UACCAUGAUGAGCAUUUAUUUUACUGCGUUAUCGUAUUGAUGGGGGCUGUUUAAGUACAGUGUUGUUCUAUAAUCUAUAUUCAUUUAUAUUUUAUAUUUCUUACCAAGGAAAUUGACUUUUAACAGAUUUGCUGAAA
rnacentral:snoRNA from 1 species